rnacentral:rRNA from 1 species
UGAGGGAUAUUGGUCAAUGGGCGCAAGCCUGAACCAGCGACGCCGCGUGGGUGAAGAAGGUCUUCGGAUCGUAAAGCCCUUUUCCCACUGAAGAGGAAGGACGGUAGGUGGGGAAGAAGUCUCGGCUAACUACGUGCCAGCAGCCGCGGUAAAACGUAGGAGACAAGCGUUAUCCGGAGUUACUGGGCGUAAAGGGCGUGCAGGUGGCGUCUUAAGUCUGUUGUGAAAGCGCCUGGCUUAACCGGGCGAGGCCAAUGGAGACUGAGAGGCUGGAGGACGGCGGAGGGGUGCGGAAUUCCGGGUGUGGUGGUAAAAUGCGUAGAGAUCCGGAGGAACACCAGAGGCGAAGGCGGCACUCUAAGCCGUACCUGACACUGAGACGCGACAGCACGGGGAGCAAACG